GACANGACUCUCGACAAUGGAUGAUUUGGNUCUAGCAUCGAUGAAGAGCGCAGCGAAAUGCGAUANGUGGUGCGAAUNGCAGAAUCCCGUGAAC
rnacentral:rRNA from 1 species